AUACGGAAGGUCCGGGCGUUAUCCGGAUUUAUUGGGUUUAAAGGGAGCGCAGGCGGAGAUGCAAGCGUGACGUCAAAUUUCGGGGCUCAACCCCGUCUCGCGUCGCGAACUGCGUCCCUUGGUUGCGGGAAGGGGAGGCGGAACUCGCGGUGGAGCGGUGAAAUGCAUAGAUAUCACGAAGAACUCCGAUCGCGAAGGCAGCCUUCCGGCCCGUCAACGACGCUCAUGCUCGAAGGUGCGGGUAUCAAACAGGAUUAGAUACCCUGGUAGUCCGCACAGUAAACGAUGGACACCCGCGGUUUGGCCUAUAUGGCUGAGCCGCCAAGCGAAAGCGUUAAGUGUCCCACCUGGGGAGUACGCCGGCAACGGUGAAACUCAAAUGAAUUGACGGGG
rnacentral:rRNA from 1 species